rnacentral:rRNA from 1 species
AGCGAACGCUGGCGGCAGGCCUAACACAUGCAAGUCGAACGCUCGUAGCAAUACGGGAGUCGCACGCGGGCGAGUAACGCGGGGGAAUACGCCUUUUGGCUAGGAAUAACUUAGGGAAACUUGAUCUCAUACAGGAAAAGCUCCUGAGGGAAGAGAUUUAUCGCCAAAAGAUUAGCCCGCGUCCGAUUAGCUAGUUGGUGAGGUAAUGGCUCACCAAGGCGACGAUCGGUAGCUGGUCUGAGAGGAUGAUCAGCCACAUUGGGACUGAGACACGGCCCAAACUCCUACGGGAGGCAGCAGUGGGGAAUAUUGGACAAUGGGCGCAAGCCUGAUCCAGCCAUGCCGCGUGAGUGAUGGAGGCCUUAGGGUUGUAAAGCUCUUUUGUCCGGGAAGAUAAUGACGGUACCGGAAGAAUAAGCCCCGGCUAACUUCGUGCCAGCCGCCGCCGUAA